UAGGGCGGGACACGUGGUAUCCUGUCUGAAUAUGGGGGGACCAUCCUCCAAGGCUAAAUACUCCUGACUGACCGAUAGUGAACCAGUACCGUGAGGGAAAGGCGAAAAGAACCCCGGCGAGGGGAGUGAAAAAGAACCUGAAACCGUGUACGUACAAGCAGUGGGAGCCCCACCACUAAGCCAGUGGUGAACUCCACAUACGCAUCCUUUGCUGAGGAUACGGUUAACGGAGCGAAAGCGACGUUCAACCGCAAAAGAAGCAGAGGGGGCUUAGUGGUGGGGUGACUGCGUACCUUUUGUAUAAUGGGUCAGCGACUUAUAUUCUGUAGCAAGGUUAACCGUAUAGGGGAGCCGGAGGGAAACCGAGUCUUAAUUGGGCGUUAAGUUGCAGGGUAUAGACCCGAAACCCGGUGAUCUAGCCAUGGGCAGGUUGAAGGUUGGGUAACACUAACUGGAGGACCGAACCGACUAAUGUUGAAAAAUUAGCGGAUGACCUGUGGCUGGGGGUGAAAGGCCAAUCAAACCGGGAG
rnacentral:rRNA from 1 species